rnacentral:rRNA from 1 species
GUGUCAGCAGCCGCGGUAAUACGUAGGCAGCAAGCGUUGUUCGGAAUUACUGGGCGUAAAGAGUGUGUAGGCGGUGCUCUAAGUUUGGUGUGAAAUCUCCCGGCUCAACCGGGAGGCUGCAUCGAAUACUGGAAUGCUAGAGGGUGGGAGAGGUAAGCGGAAUUCCUGGUGUAGCGGUGAAAUGCGUAGAUAUCAGGAGGAACACCUGUGGUGUAGACAGCUUACUGGACCACUUCUGACGCUGAGACACGAAAGCGUGGGUAGCAAACAGGAUUAGAAACCCCCGUAGUCC